rnacentral:rRNA from 12 species
AGCUGGUGGAUCCUGCCAGUAGUUAUACGCUCGUCUUCACGAUUAAGCCAUGCAUGUCUAAGUGUAAAUCACUGGUGAACUGCGAACGGCUCAUUAUAUCAGUUAUGAUUUAUUUGGAGGUAUGGACUACUCGGAUAACCGUAGUAACCCUGUGGCUAAUACGUGCGCGGUGUCCCGACGUCUUCGGGAGGGAUGUACGUGUUAGGUAUAAACGCUAACCUAUCGCUUCUUGGUCAGAUCCUCGCGCACGAGCGGGGUCGUCACCUGUCGUGAUAGAAGCAGUGUUGAAUCAUAAUACGUGUCGAAUCAUACAGCUCAUCAAGCUAAUGAUGCUCCAUUCAAAUUUCUGUCUCAUCAACUUGAUGGUAGGGUAGUGGCCUACCAUGGUCGUGACGGGUAACGGGGGAUUAGCGUUCGAUUCCGGAGAGGGAGCCUG